GUCUUGCUGUCACUUAUAGAUGGAUCCGCGCUGCAUUAGCUAGUUGGUAAGGUAACGGCUUACCAAGGCAACGAUGCAUAGCCGACCUGAGAGGGUGAUCGGCCACACUGGAACUGAGACACGGUCCAGACUCCUACGGGAGGCAGCAGUAGGGAAUCUUCCGCAAUGGGCGAAAGCCUGACGGAGCAACGCCGCGUGAGUGAUGAAGGUCUUCGGAUCGUAAAACUCUGUUAUUAGGGAAGAACAUAUGUGUAAGUAACUGUGCACAUCUUGACGGUACCUAAUCAGAAAGCCACGGCUAACUACGUGCCAGCAGCCGCGGUAAUACGUAGGUGGCAAGCGUUAUCCGGAAUUAUUGGGCGUAAAGCGCGCGUAGGCGGUUUUUUAAGUCUGAUGUGAAAGCCCACGGCUCAACCGUGGAGGGUCAUUGGAAACUGGAAAACUUGAGUGCAGAAGAGGAAAGUGGAAUUCCAUGUGUAGCGGUGAAAUGCGCAGAGAUAUGGAGGAACACCAGUGGCGAAGGCGACUUUCUGGUCUGUAACUGACGCUGAUGUGCGAAAGCGUGGGGAUCAAACAGGAUUAGAUACCCUGGUAGUCCACGCCGUAAACGAUGAGUGCUAAGUGUUAGGGGGUUUCCGCCCCUUAGUGCUGCAGCUAACGCAUUAAGCACUCCGCCUGGGGAGUACGACCGCAAGGUUG
rnacentral:rRNA from 1 species